CAAAAUGGGUAGUAUUGAAGAUUCAAUACGUAAAUAUUUAACGCAGUAACGUAUUAUCUGAAGAACAGAAGAUAAUCAUUUAUUUUUCAGUAGAAAGUUAAUGGAUCAGAUAGUUUGUCUCGAAAGAUUUUGUCCUCAGAACUGAAUAUAUAAUUAGAUACUGCACCUGUCAGCACCUACGUCAGCAUGACAGAGGUUGGUGACAAAAGUCUAGACAACAUACGUUAUAAGGAGAAGGAUCCACCUGUAUUUCCGUAUUUAUCAGUAUCGAGAAUGGUUUUCUUAUACUCGUGGAGUAACAAAUCAUCUAGAGAACAGAAGAUAAUCAUUUAUUUUUCAUAUGAAAGUUAAUGAA